GGAUAGUUGAGGACGAUUCUGGCUGCGACAUCUGUCACCCCAUUUGAAUCGCCAGGUUGAUUCGGGCUGAUCUUGGCUGGCUAGGCGGGUGUCCCCUUCCUCACUCACCGCUCCAUGUGUGCAUCCCUCCCGGAAGCUUGCGCGCUCGGGUCAAAAGGACGGACCAUCCCGAUAGAGAGGACCGUUCUUCGUCAAGGGUAUCGAGUAGCUGCGCUUUCCCCUGCCUUAGAACCUUCCAAACAAGCUCUUCAAAUAAUUGCACAAAAUUUAGAAAGACAAAACUAACUCAUUUAUGGUGGAAAAAAAUAUUACCUGUGUACUCUUU
rnacentral:snRNA from 1 species